UACGUAGGUGGCGAGCGUUAUCCGGAAUUACUGGGCGUAAAGCGCACGCAGGCGGUCUGUCAAGUCUGACGUGAAAGCUCCUGGCUUAACUGGGAGAGGUCGUUGGAAACUGAUGGGCUUGAGGCAAUGAGAGGGGUGUAGAAUUCCCGGUGUAGUGGUGGAAUGCGUAGAUAUCGGGAGGAAUACCAGUGGCGAAGGCGACACCCUGGCAUUGACCUGACGCUGAGGUGCGAAAGCGUGGGGAGCGAACGGGAUUAGAUACCCCCGUAGUCC
rnacentral:rRNA from 1 species